AUUGAACGCUGGCGGCAGGCCUAACACAUGCAAGUCGAGCGGAUGAAGGGAGCUUGCUCCUGGAUUCAGCGGCGGACGGGUGAGUAAUGCCUAGGAAUCUGCCUGGUAGUGGGGGAUAACGUCCGGAAACGGGCGCUAAUACCGCAUACGUCCUGCGGGAGCAAGUGGGGGAUCUUCGGACCUCACGCUAUCAGAUGAGCCUAGGUCGGAUUAGCUAGUUGGUGGGGUAAAGGCCUACCAAGGCGACGAUUCGUAACUGGUCUGAGAGGAUGAUCAGUCACACUGGAACUGAGACACGGUCCUGACGCCUACGGGAGGCAGCAGUGGGGAAUAUUGGACAAUGGGCGAAAGCCUGAUCCAGCCAUGCCGCGUGUGUGAAGAAGGUCUUCGGAGUGUAAAGCACUUUAAGUUGGGAGGAAGGGCAGUAAGUUAAUACCUUGCUGUUUUGACGUUACCAACAGAAUAAGCACCGGCUAACUUCGUG
rnacentral:rRNA from 1 species